UGAAAAUAUAAUGUAACUAUGUGCUUUGUCAAUUUAGUACCAGUUUAAUGUGUUGAUGCAUUUAAGAGGCGGCUAUAUCUUUUUAUGCGUAUGACAUUGUAGCUGGUUUCUUGUCUAAUAUGUUUGUUUAUUUUAUAACCAACUCACAGAAUGAUUAGCAAUUGCAAUCUGGAAGGUUAAUCAGAAGGAGAAGCUAAGCCUCGUGAACGGAGAGAUGUAUAUAUUGUACACGUAACAAGGAUGCAUAUAUUAGUCAGAUAUCGUAUUUUGAUUCAGGAAAUGCGUUCUUCCCUGCUUAUUUUUGGAGUCCAUCACUCAUGAACAUAGCAAUUCAGUAUGCUACUUUACACAUGCAAGACUUGAGUGGCUGAUUGUAUAAGCAUGUUUUUGUUCUUACUGCAUUGCAUGUGUAGUUUCUUAAACAUUGAAUUGGUGGAUGAAUUUGUAGUCGUCAUAUAGAGCAAAUGAGCUUUGUUUUUAUUUUUUAAGUACAUUGGCAUAAAUUAAAUGAAAUGUAGCUUGUUCUUUGGAGUAUUUUGGA
rnacentral:lncRNA from 1 species